rnacentral:rRNA from 1 species
CUGAAUAACUUUGCUGAUCACACAGUCUAGCACUGGUGAUAUAUCUUUCAAGUGUCUGGCCUAUCAACUUUCGAUGGUAGUUUAUGUGCCUACCAAGGUGGUAACGGGUAACGGAGAAUAAGGGUUCGACUCCGGAGAGGGAGCCUGAGAAAUGGCUACCACAUCUAAGGAAGGCAGCAGGCGCGCAAAUUACCCACUCUCAACAUGAGGAGGUAGUGACGAAAAAUAACGAGAUGGUUCUCUAUGAGGCCCAUCAUCGGAAUGGGUACAAUUUAAACCCUUUAAUGAGGAUCUAUUGGAGGGCAAGUCUGGUGCCAGCAGCCGCGGUAAUUCCAGCUCCAAUAGCAUAUGCCAAUGUUGCUGCUGUUAAAAA